CAAUGAACUUAAGAUUUAUUUAUAAGAAUUUUAUCUUUAUUAGAA
rnacentral:tRNA from 2 species